rnacentral:tRNA from 1 species
AUCUUUAUAGUUUAUAAAAACAAUACAGCUUCAUUGUAUAGAUAAUAUAUUUAUAUUUAUAGAUA